GAUGAACGCUGGCGGCGUGCCUUAUACAUGCAAGUCGAGUGGGUUUAGACCCACGGCAAACGGGUGAGUAACACGUAGGUACUUUCCUUGUCACAGGAAUAACCCUCCGAAAGGAGGGCUAAUACCUGAUGUGAUCGCAAGAUUAAAGGGUAUCCGCAAGGAUUACCGGACAAGAAGAGGCCUGCGGCCUAUCAGCUAGUUGGCGGGGUAAAUGCCCACCAAGGCUAUGACGGGUAGCUGGUCUUAUGAGGAUGAUCAGUCACAUGGGCACUGAGACACGGGCCCAACUCCUACGGGAGGCAGCAGUAGGGAAUUUUGCGCAAUGGGCGAAAGCCGGACGCAGCGACGCCGCGUGCGGGAUGAAGGCCUUCGGGUCGUAAACCGCUUUUAUAAGGGACGAACUUUGACGGUACCUUAUGAAUAAGAGGUUGCUAACUCUGUG
rnacentral:rRNA from 1 species